CUCAGAGUGCUUUCCGGAACCCGGUGAGUGGCGGACUGCGCAGGCGGACUGCGCAGGCGGACUGCGCAGGCGGACUNCCCGGUGAGUGGCGGACUGCGCAGGCGGACUGCGCAGGCGGACUGCGCAGGCGGACUGCGCAGGCGGACUGCGCAGGCGGCCGGAUUCCACUCAGUUUCCGGUCCGGCGAACACCAAAGUCCAGGAAUCUAAGCAUUUUUCAGUUUCUGGGAUUGUUAGGAAGCUGCAGAAGCGAGAUGGAGGUGGACGCACCGGGUGUUGAUGGUCGAGAUGGUCUUCGGGAGCGGCGAGGCUUGAGCGAGGGAGCAGGGCAGAACCUCGAUGUGCGGCCUCGGUCUGGGGCAAACGGGCUUCCCAAACACUCCUACUGGUUGGACCUCUGGCUCUUCAUCCUUUUCGAUGUGGUGGUGUUUCUCUUUGUGUAUUUUUUGCCAUGACUCGUUUGCUGAUAUCUAAAUUAAGAAGUUGGUUCUUGAGUGAAUUCUGAAAAUGGCUACAAACUUCUUGAAUAAAGAAGACAAGACUCUCAACAGAAGAAUUUCACAUCUCCAAGGGACCCUUCCUUUCAUUUUACACUUUGUUACUAAUUUGCAGAACUCUAUUAAAUGGACAUGGAGCAGGGCCCCUUGGUUCCCAGACCUUUGGACUUGGACCGGAACUACACCAUUGGCUUUCCUGGGCUUACUGUCUGCAGACAGCAGAUGGUGGGACUUCUCAGCCUCCAUAAUCAUGUGAGCCAAUCCCUCAUAAUAAAUUUA
ensembl:lncRNA